UGCAGUCGAGCGCACCUUCGGGUGAGCGGCGGAGGUUAGUAACGCGUGGGAACGUGCCCUUCUCUAAGGAAUAGCCACUGGAAACGGUGAGUAAUACCUUAUACGCCCUUCGGGGGAAAGAUCUAUCGGAGAGGGAUCGGCCCGCGUUAGAUUAGGUAGUUGGUGGGGUAAUGGCCUACCAAGCCUACGAUCUAUAGCUGGUUUUAGAGGAUGAUCAGCAACACUGGGACUGAGACACGGCCCAGACUCCUACGGGAGGCAGCAGUGGGGAAUCUUGGACAAUGGGCGCAAGCCUGAUCCAGCCAUGCCGCGUGAGUGAUGAAGGCCUUAGGGUCGUAAAGCUCUUUCGCCUGUGAAGAUAAUGACGGUAGCAGGUAAAGAAACCCCGGCUAACUCCGUGCCAGCAGCCGCGGUAAUACGGAGGGGGUUAGCGUUGUUCGGAAUUACUGGGCGUAAAGCGCGCGUAGGCGGACUAUUAAGUCGAGGGUGAAAUCCCGGGGCUCAACCCCGGAACUGCCUCCGAUACUGGUAGUCUUGAGUUCGAGAGAGGUGAGUGGAAUUCCGAGUGUAGAGGUGAAAUUCGUAGAUAUUCGGAGGAACACCAGUGGCGAAGCGGCUCACUGGCUCGAUACUGACGCUGAGUGCGAAAGUGUGGGGAGCAAACAGGA
rnacentral:rRNA from 1 species